rnacentral:lncRNA from 1 species
GUUUUCAUCAUCUUCUACACACCUAAACUUCAUCUCUCUCCAAAAAAUAGAGCAAGAGUUGCUGUAAAUCUAGCCGCAAACGACCCUAAAAGACUCGAACUCUUUCCUCCUCUUCCUCUCACCCAUCAACAUCAACAAACAUACAGUAACAUAUAGUCGAGAUUGACGAGAGAGAGAGAGGUCAAUUCAGAUUCAAAUCCAUGGCUGUUUGUCGUUUUGGUCAUGGUUCUUUUUCGAGUUGAGUCAUUCUUCUUGAGGUUGUCGAUUAAGGUUUUUGGAAGCUGUUGAGCUUGAGGAUCGGCUACUGUUGUUUACUGCCGUGCUGCGGAUCUGCUCAGUUUCUUCUUCGUUCUUUUUUUUUGAGAUUUUUCGGCGAGUUUGGAGGCCCGUGGAUCUCGGUAAAGUUUUCUGCAUAAGGUUCUUUCUUCUUUUUUCUUUAAUGUGUAAAUUUUUGAUGAAGUUGCCUCAUGUACAUAUUACUUUGGUUCGUCGAGUUGAAAUUUGCAUUACUUUGAUUCCGAACUUUGCAUGUAUCUAUAUACCAUUUUUCUCAAAGUUGAACUCUAUUUUAGUCCUCUCGAUUUUUGUUUUGGAAGAGUUUAAAAAAGCAACUGUUAGAACCUAACUGUUUUUUUAUAUUUUUAAAAUUUUUUAUGUUGUGGUCUGAAGAGUUCUCCAAACAUAUCUGAUUUUUUCAACGGAAAAGAAGAAGCUAUUUUCACUACUUUUGUGGUCGACAGAAAAGACAUUCCGAAUAUUCGCACUUGUUGAUUGGUGCUUUUAAUAAAAAAAUGGGAAUAUAUAUUCCUUUAUGAUUGGAUUGUUGUAUCAGAAUUUCAACUUGAGAAAGUUUUUAGAUAUGGACUGGAUUGGUGUUCUUUUAGUGAUUUUUCAUUCCUUUUUUUAAUACUGUAGUUCUUUAUGGCUUUUCUAAUCAUCAAGCAAAUAUUUUUCAUUUAUAUUCAGAUACUUUACCAAGUUUGGUUUCAUUUUGAAACAAUCCAAUAAAUUAAAGUUUGUUGUGUUUGAUGGGGAAUUAAGAAUUGAAGGGGAUGGUGAAUUGUUUAUGAAUUAGAUUGGAUUGAAAUUGAUCAAACAUUUCUAACGACCUGACCGGUCGUUUUGAGCUCUGGCACGUCAUUCAGCAGUUUGAGGCCAUGAGCGGCUUCAUCUCAGGUAUAUUUACUUGUGUGUAUGGUCAGAAUUAAAAUUCAAGAAGUUUGGAGUCAAAUCUAAAUGGAAAUUCUCAUUUUGAAAGCUUAAAAUUGAAGAAAUGAACCAGGAUUGGAAUUUUGAGUAAACGACAUCGGAAUUGGGAUCUAAAGGUUCCAACAGGUUUGUAUGAUGAUUUCGGACUUGGGCGUAUGCCCGGAUCGGGUUUUGGAUAACCCGGGAGCGUUUUGGCACCUAUUGUGGAAGAUAACAUUUUAGAAGAAAUUGCAUCAGUUUGGUUUAAAAUGCAUUUCAGUGUUAUUGAUGUCCGUUAGGGAUUCCAAGACUGGGAGUAGCUCCGUAUGGUGAUUCUGGAUUUGUGAGCGCGAUCGGAAGUGAAUUCGGAGGUCCGUAGGUCAUUUUGGAGCCGUUCGGCUAAAGAUGGAAAAUUGAAGGUUUUUGAGAAAAUUUGGCCGGAAGUGGAAAUUUUGAUAUCGGAUUCGAAAUGCGAAUUUUAUGGUUUGGAUAGCUUCGUUAGGUUAUUUGGGACUUAGGAGUGUGUCCGGAAUAUCUUUGUGUUGAAAUAUAUGAAUUAUGGGAAAAAUUUGAAAAUUUUUGAUAUUUAAUAUUGUUAAAGUUGACUUUGGUCAACAUUUUUGGUAAACGGACCCGGACCCAUGAUUUUUCGGACACGAAAGGUCCACAGAAAAAUAUGGGAGUUGAACGUGUUUCCGGAAUCGAAUUCUGAGGUCCCAGGUUCGAGAAAUGAAUUUUUUCGUGAAAUUAUUUUCUGAAAAUGUUUAAGGAAAAGGAAAAGGAAAUUUGAUCAGAAAGUAAUGGUAUCGGGCUCGUAUUUUGGUUCCGAUGCCCGGUACAGGUCAUAUAUGUUGGUUAAGAGCUUCCUAUAAAGUUUGGUUACAAACGGACGUUGUUUGACGGGUUUCAGCCUUAAAUUGGAAAAUUUGAAAGUUUAUGAAAUUUGAAAGAAUUCUUGGAUUUAAGGCUCAAAUCAUUGAUUUUGAUGUUAUUUUGGCGAUUUGAUCGCUCGGGCAAGUUCUUGUGAUGUUUUAGAGUCAGUGUUCAUAUUUGGUUUGUAGCCCCGAGGGCUCGGGAGUGUUUCGGAGGUGUCUCGGAGUGAUUUCGGACUUAGGAAAAAUUGCAGAAAAUUCUGCUGUGCCCAGAAAAUUUUAGGUGCGAGUAGUCUAGUUUGGAAGCUCAUAUCUUGUAAUCUAUAAGAAAUUAGAAAAGGUGCAAAACACGAAAGUUGUAUUCCAUAUAUUCUAGUUUUAGUUAAACCAUUCGCGAUUUGGAUAUCAUUUCAGAAAGUUACGAUGGAUCGAAAAGGGCUGCUGGAGCAAUUUCGGCAGAAUUUACGAUGCACUUUAGAAACUCAUAUCUCGGGAUAUAUAAAGAGUUAUAUGGUGUACAACCUAUCAAAUUAAAUAUCUUUGAGUCUAGUUUCUAAAUCUUCAAACCGUUUGUCAUUUGGAUAUUUAUACAAGACGUUAUGGGUGUUUAAACAGAAGGUGUCCGACAAGGAACAAUUUUAAUAGGAUGUACAACUUGUAUAGCACAAGUGCAAGAUACAACUCGACGAAGCACAGG